rnacentral:rRNA from 1 species
GCUCAGGACGAACGCUGGCGGCGCGCCUAACACAUGCAAGUCGAACGAGCGAGAGAGAGCUUGCUUUCUCAAGCGAGUGGCGAACGGGUGAGUAACGCGUGAGGAACCUGCCUCAAAGAGGGGGACAACAGUUGGAAACGACUGCUAAUACCGCAUAAGCCCACGGCUCGGCAUCGAGCAGAGGGAAAAGGAGCAAUCCGCUUUGAGAUGGCCUCGCGUCCGAUUAGCUAGUUGGUGAGGUAACGGCCCACCAAGGCGACGAUCGGUAGCCGGACUGAGAGGUUGAACGGCCACAUUGGGACUGAGACACGGCCCAGACUCCUACGGGAGGCAGCAGUA